rnacentral:rRNA from 1 species
AUGCGCGCAAAACAUUCUGGCACCCCAGCCCGCUCUGCAGUCCACUUCGAGAAGCCCGUCCCGCCGCCGCCCCAACACCAGCAGAAGCCGCCGGCGCCGCAGCCCGGCACGUACGUGGUGCAGGUGCCCAAAGACAAGGUCUUCCGCGUGCCGCCGCCGGAGAACGCGCGCCUCUUCCAGCACUACACCCGCCGCGCUGACUGCUCCUGCCUCCGCGCCUCUACCUCGCCGUCGUGGUCCUCUCCCUCGCCGUCCUCCUCGCCGCCGCCGUCGGGGUCGUCUACCUCGCCUUCAAGCCUAGGCAGCCGGCGUACUCGGUCGUGUCCCUCGCAGUGUCGGGCCGCGCCGGCGUCAGCAACGCCUCGGCCCCCGGCCCGCUCUCGCCGGGGUUCGCCGCGACCGUCCGCGCCGACAACAGCGCCAACGGCAAGGUCGGCGUGCACUACGACGGCGCCGGGAGCCGCGUCGCCGUGUCGUACGAGGGCGUGA